rnacentral:rRNA from 1 species
AACGAACGCUGGCGGCAUGCCUAACACAUGCAAGUCGAACGAGACCUUCGGGUCUAGUGGCGCACGGGUGCGUAACGCGUGGGAACCUGCCCUUAGGUUCGGAAUAACUCCCCGAAAGGGGUGCUAAUACCGGAUAAUGUCUUCGGACCAAAGAUUUAUCGCCUUUGGAUGGGCCCGCGUUGGAUUAGCUAGUUGGUAGGGUAAAAGCCUACCAAGGCGACGAUCCAUAGCUGGUCUGAGAGGAUGAUCAGCCACACUGGGACUGAGACACGGCCCAGACUCCUACGGGAGGCAGCAGUGGGGAAUAUUGGACAAUGGGCGAAAGGCUGAUCCAGCAAUGCCGCGUGAGUGAUGAAGGCCUUAAGGUUGUAAAGCUCUUUUACCCGGGAUGAUAAUGACAGUACCGGGAGAAUAAGCCCCGGCUAACUCCGUA